rnacentral:lncRNA from 1 species
GACUCCACCACAGGGCAGGUAAGUUCUAGCACAGACGCUGCCCCUGCUUCCUCCGCAUUCCCCAGGCCGUCCUUGCUUCACACUCUUCCUUAACCCUCUUCUCCGGGGAUCACCUGCAAGUCUCCUGGAGCCCGUGUGUUAGCACGGCAUGGGGUUCCAGCCUCCUCCGAUCACAGCUCAGCUCCUACCACCUCUUCCUCCCCAGAAUCGCACACGGCGCCUGGCGCAGCUCCAUGAACGCCAGAGUGGGACAUUACGGUCACACAGUGCUCACUUUAUCAAAUAAAAGAUGGAGUCGUUCGACGUCUUUUAACACCCUUUGAGCACAUGAGCAGACGGAGUGAUCAUGAGAUGUACCUGGGAGAGGAGAUGACAGGGACGGGGGCUUGGGCCCCAGUGCCGGGCGCUACCAGGGACUCUUGAAGCAGGACAAGGACGCACUGGGGAGGGAGGGUCUAAGAGGGGUGCCCGGAGAGACUGUGCCCACAGGGGUGGCUUGGGGUGGCUUUGGGUAGCCUGGAUUUUUCACACGAGCCAGGGAAGUCAAGUGGGGAAGUCCAGUUAGAGUUCCCAUUUCCUCGUGAACUGUACGUCUGCUAACAGCAAGGAGCGGGAAUGCCGAGGGUGACCACACGACGCUGCCAGGGCAGAUGCUGGAGGCUGAGACAUCAACCCAGGUGCCCCAGCUGCGUGGAAGGGGGUGUGAGCCUGACGCCGCCCUCCCUGGAAACCUGUCCACAGAUCUGGACCACACCACAGUGUCUGUGUGCCUGGAUUCUUACCUAAGACCCAUUUCUCAGACAGAUACUUGACUGUUGCUUUCUUCUUUCCGCUGUAGGGCCCGAUGACGAUGCUGGCCUGGCGGGGGACUUGGCUGACCCGGCCUCCGCACAGGUGGACUAGUUCACAGAGCUUGGCCACUGGGGGGCUGCUGGCAGGCGAGACAAACAUCACUGGCUGGUCGGCAAAGAGGGUUCCGCGCAUAAUAAAUACCGAGCCUCAGCAGCUUUCAUGUGCCUUGCAGGAGACAGUGGCAGCAGGGGCAAAUGAUUCUUCCUGGAUGGUGACUUUAACAAAGACUUCUUCUGGGGGGCACCGAUCUCCACCUGGCCAUGUCUUCAAGCCCAAGGAGAAGUCCCAGGAUGGGUCUGAGCUAAUCACGGUGAUCGCAAUACAAAUGACUGCGCUAAGCAUGGCACAGCUGGCCUCAAUCCUGGCCAAUGCAACCUGAGAAUCAACUGCUGGUGGGAUUCUGGGGGAGUUUUUCUCACUGUUAUAAACAGAUGCAUAAGCAGAAAUACUUCUCUUUGCUGGACACUGUCAUGUCUAAUGUGACGCCUGGAUCACUGAAGCCCCCAGAGGCCACGGGACACGCUGAAAAUGGCCCAGUGGGAAGGCGGAAAGCCUUGGGUCCUGAAAAACACUUCUAAGUCACUGACAGACCAAACUGAAAUCAUCCUUUAUUUUGUUCUUUUCAUGUCAGAAAAAAAGACCCCUAAAUUCUUUAAGUGACUUUUUUGUUAAGUUUUUGUUUCUAGAAGCCCAAAAUAUCCUAAUAAUAA